UACGUAGGGUGCAAGCGUUAAUCGGAAUUACUGGGCGUAAAGCGUGCGCAGGCGGUUCGCUAAGACCGAUGUGAAAUCCCCGGGCUUAACCUGGGAACUGCAUUGGUGACUGGCGGGCUAGAGUAUGGCAGGAGGGGGGUAGAAUCCACGUGUAGCAGUGAAAUGCGUAGAGAUGUGGAGGAAUACCGAUGGCGAAGGCAGCCCCCUGGGCCAAUACUGACGCUCAUGCACGAAAGCGUGGGGAGCAAACAGG
rnacentral:rRNA from 1 species